ACAGAAGCGAAGAAGCAGCCAGAAGUCAAUUCGUAGCAGUAAUCAUGUUCGCAAGCAAAACUAUUGUCCUCGUUGUUGCCAUGCUGGCCCUAGUAUACGUGGCUGCUGCUUAUCCCAGUUUCGGAUACGGGUCAUACGGCCACCAUUCAUCUUACGGACAUGGACACGGUUCUUAUGGAUACGGACAUCUUGGAUAUGGGCCACUCUACAACCAGUACUCAUCCCACCACCAUGGACACUAUCACGGAUAGACUGAAUCGAUCUCCUGCUGAGAUGGUGCCUAAUUUCUGAACCUCAUUUCCACCUGCUUUCCUUCUCAUUUCCACUUCAGAGAAAUGAAGAAAAUCAGGACGUGAAAUGAUGCAGAUUAUUUGCUCCUUAUAUUUUGAACUUUAAUCACAAUUUCUAUUAAAACAUGUCUAUUUGUAUUGCGGAUUUGUAAUA